CUCAUGGCUGAGUAAUACUCUAUUGGAUAUAUAUACCGUAUCUUGUCUAUUCAUCUUUUGACAGAAAAUUAGGUUGUCUACAUAUCUUGACUAGUGUAAAUGAUGCGGUGAACAUGAACGUGCAGGCAGUUAUCUCUUGAAGAUCCUGGUUUUUUUUUUUUUACUUCGGUUAUAUAUCCAGAACUGGAAUAGCUCUAUCAUGUGGUAUUUCUAAUUUUAAAUUUUUAAGGGAACUCCUUGCUGUUUUCCAUAGUGGCCACAUCAAUGAAAUGCUGGCUUUAUAAAAUAAGCAUGGAGUAUUCCCUCCUGUCUCAUGUUUGGAAGAGUUUGAGAAAAAUUAGAAUUGAUUCUUUAAAUGUUUCAUAGAAUUCACCAGCGAAGCCAUCUGGUAUUGGGCUUUUCUUUGUUGGGAGAUUUUUGAUUACACUAAAUCUCUUUACUAAGAUAAUUUCCCUAUGUACAGCUGUACAUUUAGUGUGAUCUUGAGAAAAGGGGAGCUCAGGAACCUCCUAUGUUACUGUCUUCCAAAAAUUCUUCUUUGCACCUGGCUGGUUCAGUUAGAAGAGCACAUGACUCUUGAUCUCGGAGUGUUUUUCUCUAGUUUGAAAGAGGAACAACAAUCUCAUUUCUCUCCAUCAAGGAGCCAACACUACAACCGUAGCUUGUUUGUACGUGAAUGGAGACCUGACUUUAGAAGACUUUUGAAUCAAACGUACCCUCAACAGUGAAAGGCGGCCCUUCAAUGUGGAUAGUAAAAUACUGCUUUAUUAUAGAAACAUAACCAUAAAUCUAAAGAUGAUAACCCGUUCGCAUAGCGUUAGUUAUAUUUUUUAACGUGGCUUCAAUAGAAUCAUUUUGACAACUACUAUAUAAAGCCUACAUAUGGAAUCUCUAAAUAACAGUUGAAUCACUGAUACAUUAAUAUUAGUAGUUUUACAUAUAUUUUUUAACAUUAGCACUUUUAAAAAUACUUUCUCAUGCUCUGACCUCUAUUAAUUUGAGGACACUUCUAUUCCUGUGGAAUACACUGGAGUAC